GAUGAACGCUGGCGGCGUGCCUAAUACAUGCAAGUCGAGCGAACAGACGAGGAGCUUGCUCCUCUGACGUUAGCGGCGGACGGGUGAGUAACACGUGGAUAACCUACCUAUAAGACUGGGAUAUCUUCGGGAAACCGGAGCUAAUACCGGAUAAUAUAUUGAACCGCAUGGUUCAAUAGUGAAAGACGGUUUUGCUGUCACUUAUAGAUGGAUCCGCGCCGCAUUAGCUAGUUGGUAAGGUAACGGCUUACCAAGGCAACGAUGCGUAGCCGACCUGAGAGGGUGAUCGGCCACACUGGAACUGAGACACGGUCCAGACUCCUACGGGAGGCAGCAGUAGGGAAUCUUCCGCAAUGGGCGAAAGCCUGACGGAGCAACGCCGCGUGAGUGAUGAAGGUCUUCGGAUCGUAAAACUCUGUUAUUAGGGAAGAACAAAUGUGUAAGUAACUAUGCACGUCUUGACGGUACCUAAUCAGAAAGCCACGGCUAACUACGUG
rnacentral:rRNA from 1 species